GACGAACGCUGGCGGCGUGCUUAACACAUGCAAGUCGAACGAAAAGAGGGAAAGAGCUUGCUCUUUCCGGAAUUGAGUGGCAAACGGGUGAAUAACACGUAAACAACCUGCCAACCGGACGGUGACAACAGACGGGAACGACUACUAAUAGCGAAAUAGUUCCAAAAGCCGCAUAGCCCAUUGAAGAAAAGGUGGCCUCUACCUGUAAGCUAUCUGCUCAAGAGGGGGUUGCGACUGAUUAGCUGGUUGGAGGGGUACCGGCCCACCAAGAGGACGAUCAGUAGCCGGUCUGCGAGGAUGAGAGGCCAAACUGGAACGGAGACACGGUCCAGAACACUACGGGAGGCAGCAGGGGGGAAUCUUCAGCGAUGGGAGAAAGCCUGAAGGAGCAACGCCGGGGGAGUGAUGAAUGCCGUCGGGUUGUAAGACUCUGUGAGCCGGGAGGAAAAGGCAGUGUGCGAAGAACAAACUGCAUUGACGGUACCAGAGAAGAAAGCCACGGCUAAAUACGUG
rnacentral:rRNA from 1 species